AAGCAAAAAUUCCAAUUAACCUAGUGAGCAAGCCGCAUGAGAGAAAAUAGAGAAAAGAGAGGCAGUCAGCUUCUAUUCUUAUUUUUUCUGUGAGAGAGUGCUAGGGUGUAAUUGGGAUUUGGGUUUCUUGAGAGUGUUCUUGUGCACUAUUGUAUUUUCCCUGAUAAUAGUGAAAUCCCUGCAACUCCGUGGACGUGGGCAAAUUGCCGAACCACGUAAAUAUUGUCUUGUGCUUGUAAUUAUUUUAUUUGGCGUGUGUUUUCUCUAUUUGUUUUGUUUCUCACAGGUUAGGAAUUUUUGGUUAAAUUCCCUACAAAAAAGUGUUUCAACACAUCAAAAUUUUCGUGUCACUCUAAUGGCUGUAGAUGUCUGAGAGGAUAACUUUGCUCUAGGGUGAGGUAGUCCAUUUGUAUGCUUUUUGCAAUCAUUUAAGGCCUAGUAAGACCUAAUCGAGAAUGAUUAUGUGUGAGGAACUCCUGUGAUGAUGGAAUACCAAAUUCUACAAGGUUCCAGGCAACAAGGAUGACUAAUUUUGAUUGGCAGAAUUCACUUGUUAAACCAGCAAGAUCAUCAUGCAACAGUUGGUUUAACAAUUUGGCAAGGAGAAAUAUUCAAAAGAAAACAGUAUUUGAUAAAUGUAGGAAACAUAUGGAAAUUCAUACUACAUUUAUAUUAAAAGAGAUGUUGCUAUUCACAUUUAGUUAUGAAUGUGAAGUUACAAAUUAAUUUCCAUGCUUAAACAUAUCACUACAAAAAAACGUGUUUUUUAGCUGCGUUUACAAAAAUGCAGCUACAGGUUGGCUUUGAGCCACGUUUGGGAAAAACGAAGCUUCACCACUGGAUGUAUAGCCGCGUUUAUUAAAUGCGGCUAUAGACCACUCUGAAGCCGUGUUUUGUGAUCUUUCGGCUGCAUUUAGUUGGGUAGGGCUAUAGCUGAGUUUUAAAAAUGCGGCUAUAGACCCAUCGGGGAAUUUUUUUUUUCUUCAUUAUAUCCCAAAGCUGCGUUUAGUAAACGCGGCUUCAACAUGUAUAGAGCUGUGUUUUAUUCACUGUGACUUAAACAUGUAUGGAGCUGCGUUUUAUUCAACACGGCUUAAACAGGUAUAGAGCUGCAUUUUAUCAAAUGCGGCUAAAGGUUUGUUAUAAAUUAAAAAAAAAAAAAAACCCUCAAAUUCAACACAAUUGAAAAAAACCCUAAAUUGAGAAAAACUCACAGCUCACUCUCUACCUAGCUCUCGAUCCCUAAUUUCGCCACCGUGCUCUGUGCCACGCAGCUCGAUGCUGCCAUGCUCUGACCCAUUUCCCUUUCCAUUCCCUCUCCAUCCAACACACUCCCCACUUCAAUAUCGCCUUCUCCCCUCCUUACCUCACUUCCACCCUCUCCGAUUUCCUUUCCUCCCAAAUCUCCAAUUCCCCUUCCUCCCAUUCGAAUUUGGGUGAUAGUAUUGGUUUCCCCUUCUCUUCUUGGCUGAGAAAGUGCUACAGGUUUCCCCUUCUCUCCAAAUCCUCUGUGAAAAAUUGUCAGUUUGUUGUUGGGUUGGGGAAUAGAGUGAGGUUUUGGUAGGAUGGGUGGUAUGGGGAUCAUCCUUUUCAAUUGGCCUUUCCAAGGUUGUAUGGUAUCGCCUUUGAUAAGGAGGUUUCUGUUGAAGCUUCUUUGCUAAGGCAGGGGGUGGAGGAGAGGAGAAGUUGGAAUGUUCGUUUUAUUAGAGAUUUUAAUGAUUGGGAGAUGGAUGAAGGGCUGCUUUUUCUUCGUAUUUUGGGAGCCAAUACUCCUCCUAUGGAGACUAGAGACCAGAUGAGAUGGAAAUUGAAGCCUAAUGGGGUUUUUGACAUCCGAUCGUAUUCUAACAAAUUAAGGGAUUCUCUCUCAACUGUCUUUCCUUGGAAAGCUAUUUGGAGAGUUAAGGCCCCUAGGCGAGUUUUUUUUUUUGUUUGGUGUGUAGCUUGGAAUAAGAUCCUUAGGGGAGAUAACUUGAGAUUGAGAUUGAGGAGAUUGGAGUUUGUGGAUUGGUGCAUUAUGUGCCGUCAUUGUGGAGAGACGGAAGAUCACUUACUUCUUCAUUGCGAGAUGACAAAUCGAUUUUGGAGCUUUGUGUUUGUAACUUUUGGCUUGUCUUGGGUUAUAUCUAGAUCGAUUCUAGACUUGCUUUUUGGUUGGUGGAAUUGGCUGGGGAAGCAUUCGUCUCAAAUUUGGAACUUAGUCCCAUUGUGCAUCCUUUGGUGUAUUUGGAAGGAACGGAAUCGAAGGACUUUUGAGGAUUUGGAUAGUUUCGGUGAUCAGAUGCUUGCUUCUUUUAGUGGGACCCUUUUUGAUUGGUCUCCGGCUUGGGGACUCACGUCUAGUGAUUCCCUCCUUUUCUUUGCUCCCUUUCUCUGUUGUAAUUUUUGUAUUGUUUGGUUCUCUAUUGUGUUUGCUCUUUGUCCUCUUUUUCUUGUACUUUCUAGGCUUGCUCUAUGUUCUUCAUGCAUAGAGCAGGCUUUUGUUUAUAUAUAUCAUUCUUACUUAUCAAAAAAAAAAAAAAAAAAAAAUCAAUUUGAGAGAUAUUUUCUAUUUAUUUGAUGGUAGGAACUUGGGCCAAUCAAUGAAGAGGAAUUUGUAAAAGUCAGAAGAUAAUGGAGAAUGUUUUCCCUUAUUUUAUUUUUGAAAACAUUGUCCUACCAGCAUAAAAUGGUACUUCUAAGUUAUUAAUGUUC